CGGAGGGCCGGCACGGGCGGAGGCGCGACCGAACCCGGUCAGGUCCGAGAGGAAGCAGCCGCAGGCGCAUUCUUCCGGGUCGUGUCCGGUCUUCCAUUU
rnacentral:SRP_RNA from 1 species